ACGGGAGGCAGCAGUAGGGAAUCUUCGGCAAUGGGCGAAAGCCUGACCGAGCAACGCCGCGUGAAUGAUGAAGGCCUUCGGGUUGUAAAAUUCUGUUAUAAGGGAAGAACGACUUUAGUAGGAAAUGGCUAGAGUGUGACGGUACCUUAUGAGAAAGCCACGGCUAACUACGUGCCAGCAGCCGCGGUAAUACGUAGGUGGCGAGCGUUAUCCGGAAUUAUUGGGCGUAAAGAGCGCGCAGGUGGUUGAUUAAGUCUGAUGUGAAAGCCCACGGCUUAACCGUGGAGGGUCAUUGGAAACUGGUCGACUUGAGUGCAGAAGAGGGAAGUGGAAUUCCAUGUGUAGCGGUGAAAUGCGUAGAGAUAUGGAGGAACACCAGUGGCGAAGGCGGCUUCCUGGUCUGUAACUGACACUGAGGCGCGAAAGCGUGGGGAGCAAACAGGAUUAGAUACCCUGGUA
rnacentral:rRNA from 1 species